UACGGGGGGAGCAAGCGUUGUUCGGAUUUACUGGGCGUAAAGGGCGCGUAGGCGGCCACCGCAGGUCGACUGUGAAAUCUCCGGGCUUAACUCGGAAAGGUCAGCCGAUACUGCGGGGCUAGAGUGCAGAAGGGGCAACUGGAAUUCUCGGUGUAGCGGUGAAAUGCGUAGAUAUCGAGAGGAACACCUGCGGCGAAGGCGGGUUGCUGGGCUGACACUGACGCUGAGGCGCGAAAGCUAGGGGAGCGAACGGG
rnacentral:rRNA from 1 species